AGUGGCGUGAUCUCGGCUCAUUGCAACCUCCGCCUCCUGGGUUCAAGCAAUUCUCCUGCCUCAGCCUCCUGAGUAGCUGGGAUUACAGGCGCCCGCCACCACUCCCAGCUAAUUUUUGUAUUUUUAGUAGGGACGAGGUUUCACCAUGUUGGUCAGGCUGGUCUCAAACUCCUGACCUCGUGAUCUGCCCUCCUUGGCCUUCCAAAGUGCUGGGAUUACAGGCGUGAUGGAGAUGAUACUCCCUAAAUCACAAGGGUGUGGUGUGAAGAUGAAAUGGCUGCACGUGACAGAGGAGUUGGAGAACAGGAAGCAAGUGGAUUACUUGGAUGAACUGUGAUGGGCCCAAGAAGAACUAAGCCAAUCACUCCAGGGGGCGUUUUCCCAGGAUCCAGGCAGAGAGCUGAUUCCAGCAUCCACGUUGUAUCCCCCUCCCGCUGUGGCCGGGGUCUCCAAGAGCCGGGCACCCACUGCAGAGCUUCCAAGCCCAGGCCCAUUUGAACACAGGAGGACUUUUGAGGUUCAUUUAACCCCAAAAUCAGUGAUUCUACAUCUCAAGCUCAUAUUUUGAAGUGUUUACGGAAAUGAUUGCCAGAACUACAGACCUUGAGCUUGUGUGGGGUGACAAUCCGACAAGCAACAGUGAGACAGAGCUGAGAGGGCUGCAGACCAGGAUGGUGGGACCGAGGUUGCUAACAAAGCGCUGCUGAGACCUGCACAGCAUGGAGGUGCUGCUGGGGGAGAGGGGUCCCCGUGAGUGGAUCUGCUUGGUCUGCCCUUGCAAAUAGUUCUUGUCAACGGGAAGGACUUAGAGCCCCUUGAUCUACACUCAUGGAUACUUUUUUGAACUCAAGGUUUACAGUAGAAACCAGCAGCACCCCAUCCCCUAGGGCUCUCUAACCCACUGUGUCUCUACCCUGACCUUACCUACCUUUUUUUUUUUUUUUUUUUUGUGAGACAGAGUCUCGCUCCAUCGCCCAGGCUGGAGUGCAGUGGUGCGAUCUCCACUCAUUGCAAGCUCCGCCUCCCUGGUUCACGCCAUUCUCCUUCCUCAGCCUCCCGAGUAGCUGGGACUACAGGUGCCCACCACCACGCC
rnacentral:lncRNA from 1 species